UGGGGAAUCAUGGUCAAUGGGCGAAAGCCUGAACCUGCGACGCCGCGUGAGUGAUGAAGGUCGUAAGAUCGUAAAACUCUUUUCAGGGAUCUCAAAGCCUGUCUGUCAACAACAGGCAGGUCUGACUCUCCCUGGAAGAAGCCCCAGCCAACUACGUGCCAGCAGCCGCGGUAAUACAGAGAUGGCGAGCGUUACUCGGAUUUAUUGGGUGUAAAGGGCAGGUAGGUGUUUUGCCAAGUUGUAAGUGAAAUCCUAAGGCUCAACCUUAGAACUGCUUACAGAACUGGCGAAAUUGAGAUUGGUAGAGGAAAGCGGAAUUCCCGGUGUAAGGGUGAAAUCUGUAGAUAUCGGGAGGAACACCAGUGGCGAAAGCGGCUUUCUGGACCAAUUCUGACACUAAGCUGCGAAAGCUCGGGGAGCAAACA
rnacentral:rRNA from 1 species